rnacentral:misc_RNA from 1 species
CAAAUGUGUAUAAGAGACAGGUGAGUCAUCGAAUCUUUGAACGCACAUUGCGCCCCUUGGUAUUCCGAGGGGCAUGCCUGUUCGAGCGUCAUUAUAACCACUCAAGCUCACGCUUGGUAUUGGGGUUCGCGUGCUCGCGGCCCUUAAAAUCAGUGGCGGUGCCGUCUGGCUCUACGCGUAGUAAUUUCUCUCGCGAUGGAGUUCCGGCGGUUGCUUGCCAAAACCCCCCCUAUUUUCUCAGGUUGACCUCGGAUCAGGUAGGGAUACCCGCUGAACUUAAGCAUAUCAAUAAGCGGAGGA